rnacentral:rRNA from 1 species
AGAGUUUGAUCCUGGCUCAGAAUGAACGCUGGCGGCGUGCCUAACACAUGCAAGUCGUACGAGAAAGGGGCUUCGGCCCUGAGUAGAGUGGCGCACGGGUGAGUAACGCGUGGGUAAUCUCCCCUUGGAUUUGGGAUAACUCUGCGAAAGUGGAGCUAAUACCGGAUAGUCUGGCUUUAAUUGAUAAGUCGGUAAAGGAUGCCUCUGCAUAUGCAUUCGUCCAAGGAUGAGCCCGCGUCUCAUUAGCUAGUUGGUAGGGUAAUGGCCUACCAAGGCAACGAUGAGUAGCUGGUCUGAGAGGAUGAUCAGCCACACUAGAACUGAAACACGGUCCAGACUCCUACGGGAGGCAGCAGUGGGGAAUAUUGCGCAAUGGGCGAAAGCCUGACGCAGCAACGCCGUGUGAGGGAUGAAGGCUUUCGGGUCGUAAACCUCUGUCGGAAGGGAAGAACGGGUGAGGGUCUAAUAGGCCUUCAUUUUGACGGUACCUUUAGAGGAAGCACCGGCUAACUCCGUGCCAGCAGCCGCGGUAAUACGGAGGGUGCAAGCGUUAUUCGGAAUUACUGGGCGUAAAGCGCGUGCAGGCGGUUUGGCAAGUCUGAUGUGAAGGCCCCGGGCUUAACCUGGGAAGUGCAUUGGAAACUGCCGGACUUGAGUACUGGAGAGGAAGGGGGAAUUCCCGGUGUAGAGGUGAAAUUCGUAGAGAUCGGGAGGAAUACCAGUGGCGAAGGCGCCCUUCUGGACGGUUACUGACGCUGAGACGCGAAAGCGUGGGGAGCAAACAGGAUUAGAUACCCUGGUAGUCCACGCUGUAAACGAUGAGCACUAGGUGUAGCGGGUACUCAUUCCUGCUGUGCCGCAGCUAACGCGUUAAGUGCUCCGCCUGGGGAUUACGGUCGCAAGACUAAAACUCAAAGGAAUUGACGG